rnacentral:rRNA from 1 species
UACGGAGGGUGCAAGCGUUAUCCGGAAUCACUGGGUUUAAAGGGUGCGUAGGCGGCACUGUAAGUCAGGGGUGAAAGGCUACAGCUCAACUGUGGAAUUGCCUUUGAUACUGCGGUGCUAGAAUGAGAUUGAGGCAAGCGGAAUGUGGCAUGUAGCGGUGAAAUGCAUAGAUAUGCCAUAGAACACCAAUUGCGAAGGCAGCUUGCUAGAUCUUGAUUGACGCUGAGGAACGAAAGCGUGGGGAGCGAACAGG